rnacentral:tRNA from 1 species
UAUGUCUUAGUAUAAAAUGUACAUAGAAUUUUGACUUCUAAGGAAAUAGUUUGAUUCUGUUAGACGUAA